rfam:Methylomicrobium album BG8 chromosome, whole genome shotgun sequence.
GUUCACUGCCGUACAGGUAGCUUAGAAA